AUUGAACGCUGGCGGCAUGCUUUACACAUGCAAGUCGAACGGUAACAGGGAGCUUGCUCCGCUGACGAGUGGCGAACGGGUGAGUAAUAUAUCGGAACGUACCCAGAAGUGGGGGAUAACGAAGCGAAAGUUACGAUAAUACCGCAUACGAUCCACGGAUGAAAGUAGGGGACCUUCGGGCCUUAUGCUUUUGGAGCGGCCGAUAUCUGAUUAGCUAGUUGGUGAGGUAAAGGCUCACCAAGGCGACGAUCAGUAGCUGGUCUGAGAGGACGACCAGCCACACUGAAACUGAGACACGGUCCAGACUCCUACGGGAGACAGCAGUGGGGAAUUUUGGACAAGGGGCGCAAGCCUGAUCCAGCAAUGCCGCGUGAGUGAAGAAGGCCUUCGGGUUGUAAAGCUCUUUCGUCAGGGAAGAAACGGCUGUGGCUAAUAUCCACGGCUAAUGACGGUACCUGAAGAAUAAGCACCGGCUAACUACGUGCCAGCAGCCGCGGUAA
rnacentral:rRNA from 1 species